UACGAAGGGUGCAAGCGUUACUCGGAAUUACUGGGCGUAAAGCGUGCGUAGGUGGUUCGUUAAGUCUGCCGUGAAAGCCCCGGGCUCAACCUGGGAAUUGCAUUCGAGACUGAAUAGCUAGGGUACGGUAGAGGGAAGCGGAAUUUCCGGUGUAGCGGUGAAAUGCGUAGAUAUCGGAAGGAACAUCAGUGGCGAAAGCGGCUUCCUGGACCAGUACCGACGUUCAGGCACGAAAGCGUGGGGAGCAAACAGG
rnacentral:rRNA from 1 species